rnacentral:rRNA from 1 species
UACGUAGGGGGCAAGCGUUGUCCGGAAUCAUUGGGCGUAAAGAGCGUGUAGGCGGCCCGAUAAGUCCGCUGUGAAAGUCCAGGGCUCAACCCUGGAAAGCCGGUGGAUACUGUCGGGCUAGAGUCCGGAAGAGGCGAGUGGAAUUCCUGGUGUAGCGGUGGAAUGCGCAGAUAUCAGGAGGAACACCAAUAGCGAAGGCAGCUCGCUGGGACGGUACUGACGCUGAGGUGCGAAAGCGUGGGGAGCAAACAGG